CGACCUUUCACAAGUAGUGUCGCCUUUACAGCAGACGACGAAAAGCUUUGACGAAGUCCCAUUCAGUCGCGGAACGCUCAGAGACGCGUUCUGGUGACGUUCCAAGUAAGACCACGAGAGGCACGUCGUGUGCUUAGGCCUACAGUGCAUGGGAUUUUCUUGUUUUUAAAUUCUCCGUGGCGUUACGUUUGAGUUGUUGUAUGAUUCAAUAGGGCAAGUGCGCGCUCUAUCAUAACGUAGAUGUGUAAGUAAGCGUAGAGUUACCGUGAUACAUUUUGGCUGCGUUCUGUGAAUCUCAGUUACAUAAAGCAUAAAAUUGGAAAGGUGAAGUGCAUCUUUGGAAUGUGCUUAGUGUGAGUUGAGUGCAACAUUAUUCCAGCUCUGGAUCUAGAUCUAGUCCUAGGUGAAAACUAUAAAACGCGAUUUCUAAAAACAUGUCAAAGGAUAAAAGGCGCUCCUGAAACAGAAAGAAAAGGCGUUUCUUAAAAUAGGCCUAUUGAAAGUUCUGAAGCUGAAACAUUUUGCUGUUUCUUACAUGUGAUAUCUGCAGUGUGCCGUGCAGGUUGUCCUAAAUAGUGGUGGGUCAAAAACACCGACCAACGUUGACAUAUCACAUGAUCUAGCAUGCUCACGUUGCUGUAAAGAAAAUCUUCUUUCACAUGAAGGCUUUGACCCUACGGAGUUUAACUGCAUCUUUCUAUGGAAUCAACAGCCGUCAGUGGCUCGCUCGAGAUGCUGUGACCCACUGGGAUAAAAGAAAAAGCCAAAAGUCACCAGGCCAAGUUAUGGCGGAAAUCUUCUGACAAACAUGUGAACGACACAUUUGAAAUUUACUCAGAAGAGAGUGUGGUGGACAUUUUUAUUCCUGUGAUUCAAAACUUGGCGUGGAGACUUUUGCUAACUGCAUGACGUUCUGUACCUGGACGUUUUGACGUCAGUUCAAGAUCAUCAACCCCUCAGGAUGGCUGAUUUCGUAGCCGGUAAAAACGCGGUGAGUUCAGUUUUGUUUUAAUCUUUGUACUUUUUCUGUUUGGUGUCUGGUCUGUCUCGUGAGUAAUUGGUCGGAGGCUAGCUGAGAAGGCCUAGGUCGGAGGGCGUUCCUGGUAGGUCGUAUUUCUCUGUUAUAACUUAAUGUUGUUUAUGUUUGUCUGUCUGACUAUUUUCAACCUCCGGAAGAUGUUUAUUGUGUCGAUGUGUUUCAGUUUACUUGAAUUUGCUUGUUAUGCCUUUCUAGCGUUUUCAUAAGAUUUGUAGAAGCCAUGUUUAUAUAAGUUAGAGAGAGAGAGAGAGAGA